rnacentral:rRNA from 1 species
AACGCGUAUGCAAUCUACCUUUCACAGAGGGAUAGCCCAGAGAAAUUUGGAUUAAUACCUCAUAGUAUGUAUGAAUGGCAUCAUUUAUACAUUAAAGUCACAACGGUGAAAGAUGAGCAUGCGUCCCAUUAGCUAGUUGGUAUGGUAACGGCAUACCAAGGCGACGAUGGGUAGGGGUCCUGAGAGGGAGAUCCCCCACACUGGUACUGAGACACGGACCAGACUCCUACGGGAGGCAGCAGUGAGGAAUAUUGGACAAUGGGCGCAAGCCUGAUCCAGCCAUGCCGCGUGCAGGAUGACGGUCCUAUGGAUUGUAAACUGCUUUUGCACAGGAAGAAACAACUCUACGUGUAGAGUCUUGACGGUACUGUGAGAAUAAGGAUCGGCUAACUCCGUGCCAGC